GGAUGUGAGGGCGAUCUGGCUGCGACAUCUGUCACCUCAUUGAUCACCAGGGUUGACUCAGCUGAUCUGGCUGGCUAGGCGAGUGUCUACUUCCUCCCUCACUGCUCCCUGUACCCGCUCUGUCGAAGAGGACGGCCUUCCCCAAAUGGAGAUGGACCCAUCUUCGGUUGAGGGUAUCUGAGUGGCUGUUCUCCCCAGCUAGAACCUCCAAACAAGCUCUCAAGGGCCAUGAGAUAGCUCAUGCAGUAGUGUACACUUUGUAUGAGGAACUGAGUUCAAGCCCACAGUCACCCUAUA
ensembl:misc_RNA 7SK 7SK RNA